ACUCAAAGGAAUUGACGGGGGCCCGCACAAGCGGUGGAGCAUGUGGUUCAAUUCGAAGCAACGCGCAGAACCUUACCGACCCUUGACAUGUCCCGUAUGGGUUCCAGAGAUGGGAUCCUUCAGUUCGGCUGGCGGGAACACAGGUGCUGCAUGGCUGUCGUCAGCUCGUGUCGUGAGAUGUUGGGUUAAGUCCCGCAACGAGCGCAACCCUCGCCCUUAGUUGCCAGCAUUUAGUUGGGCACUCUAAGGGGACUGCCGGUGAUAAGCCGCGAGGAAGGUGGGGAUGACGUCAAGUCCUCAUGGCCCUUACGGGUCGGGCUACACACGUGCUACAAUGGCGGUGACAAUGGGACGCAAUGGAGCGAUCCUGCGCAAAUCUCAAAAAGCCGUCUCAGUUCGGAUUGGAGUCUGCAACUCGACUCCAUGAAGUCGGAAUCGCUAGUAAUCGUGGAUCAGCACGCCACGGUGAAUACGUUCCCGGGCCUUGCACACACCGCCCGU
rnacentral:rRNA from 1 species